GACUACUGGGGUAUCUAAUCCUGUUUGCUCCCCACGCUUUCGUCCCUGAGCGUCAGUUGCUGUCCAGUAAGCUGCCUUCGCUUUCGGUGUUCUACCAGAUAUCUACGCAUUCCACCGCUACACCUGGUAUUCCGCUUACCUCUCCAGCACUCUAGUUCGUCAGUCAUCAAGGCAGUUCCGGAGUUGAGCUCCGGGAUUUCACCCCAAUUUUAACAAACCUCCUGCGGACCCUUUACGCCCAAUAAAUCCGAACAACGCUCGCCACCUACGUAUUACCGCGGCUGCUGGCACGUAGUUAGCCGUGGCUUCCUCCCUCGGUACCGUCAUUUUAUUCGUCCCGAGUGACAGCGGUUUACAAUCCGAAGACCUUCAUCCCGCACGCGGCAUUGCUGGGUCACGCUUUCGCGCAUUGCCGAAGAUUCUCGACUGCAGCCCCCCGUAGG
rnacentral:rRNA from 1 species